GUAAACCUCCUGCAAGCCGAAGUCUCUGUCGGAGUCUGUUUCCCAGUGCACCCAACUUGUGAUAGAAGGUAUAUGUUCUGCUGAAAAAGAGAAAAAGGAAAAAAAAGAAUAAAAGCAGAGAGAGGCGCCCUGAAUUCCAUGCCGGGUCAUUACAGAGCCAGUGGCGGAGACUCUAUGAGACCCAGCCCCACUGGCUGCAGCCCCUUCGGAUGCAUCUGCGAGAGCAGCCUGGCCGUCACCCGCCGGCCUGGCCCGUGCUGUCAGCCGGCCAGAGCGUGUCUGAAUCGAGGAAAGCUGACUGGGGCUCGAUUCACACUGACUCGAGCCGCAAGGCGAGUUUAUGGUUCUUGAUUACACCCAGCAGGGAGGCCUUCUUAGUGAUGAGAGAGAAAAUAUUCAACAACCUGUCUUUGCAAUGUGCUGAUCUCUUGGAGAGAGAGAGAGAGAGAGAGAGAGCAGAGAAAGUGGAGGAGGGGUUUCAAAGGAGGGUGAUUUAUGAGUGGAAAGAAGGCUUUUUUAAAAAAAAAUCCAGGGCUCCCCCAAACUGCCUCAACAUUUCCUCUUUCUCAUCGUUGGGUUUUGCCUUGAUAUAACUUUGAGGCACAGUGAUUGCAUCCCUGUGGGUUUCUGCAAGCUGAUGCAAAGCUUAAAAGGAUGCAGGCCCGGAAGGCACUGUAGUCCAUCCAGCCUUCACUCAGCAUUGCCUCGCAGCUGGGAGAGGUCCUGGACAGCGCUGCCUGCAGAGGCUCCGUGCAGCCCAAUCCCCAAGCCCUUCUCUCCUUCACAGCCCUUUUCACAUUCUGCUUCAUACUUAAACUGCAUCUGCUUGCACUCGGCACCCAAACACGGUGCCUGGCUCAUGCUCGGUGUUAAUAAAUGAACAAAUGUGUGAACAGGUAUGCAUCUACUCUCCCUUACCAGGCCGUGCCUCCCAAAGCCCCCAUCCAGUAACCUAAACAAAGUCAGCCCUGAUGAUGUGUUGGGAUGAAUGAGUGAGUAAGUAACACAGUCCACACCCUGUAGAGUCUGGGCACUCUCACUGGGCUGCUUCACCCUGCAUGUUGUUUCUGAAGCUCACUCUGGUUUUAAAUGACACAUCCUAGGCCCCCAGAAAAUGGGAUGCUGGAGGAAGAAGGGGAACUUUUCUGAAGACAACAUUUUCAGUUGCUUCUUAAUAAUUCAUGGGAACUAGAGUUUUAAACCAUUGGAUCUGAAAGCACCUCCCAGCGGACAGUCACUGAGCAUCUGGUGGGGGGAGGGAAAGAGGAGCCCAGGUUUCUCCAAGAACCCCAAUCUCUUCCUUCCCAAGACAUCAGAAAGGAGUCUAGGGGCUGGCCGUGUUCCCUUUUCUUCUCUCCCUCACACCCUCUCUCUGCCCCCUCGGCUUCCCUGGGGCUCUCCUAUGGCCCAACUAAGUCUCCUGCCACUUCCCUUUCUGCCUCAGCCUCCCUACUUGAGGGAUGGGGAAGGCAUCUCAGAAGAAAGAAGGCACCCUUAUCUUCAUAUAAACAUCAGGAUUCCAGCCUCCAGGAUGCGUCCUGGGUUCCUAUGCCCAAGGCAGGAGGGAGCCAGUGUGUGGAGGGCGGUGAUACCAGGCUUGCCACCACCAGCAGAAGUGAGACGAGUUCAGCCCAGAUCAACCCCCGACGGGAACCUUGCAAAAUCACCAAAACCCUGCAAGCUCAGUGUCUCUGCCCCAGAGAGAGGCGUUGGCACCUGGUCCCCACUAAGGCAGGCUGGGUCAGCCAGCUGGGGGGCUCUCCAGGCUGCCAGGGAGAACAGCCACUGAACCCCAGGGCUGCUGAGAACCCAGCCAGCUCUCCUUGACUCUGGCUCUGUGAAGUUUGGUACCCACCGAAAGGGGAGGGGGCAGUGUCACGGGGACGGUGCCCAAGCUCCAAAACUUUACACUGAAAGUUAAUCCACUGAAGCGGAGCCCAAAAUAAGCGCACUGCCUAAUGUGCCGGGAACUGCCGGUCGCAAGGCCAGGCUGCUAGCGGAUGCCGGCGCAUCUCCGCCCGCCCGGAGCCUGCAUUUAGCGCCAGCGAGGGAGUCUGGGCUGGAGCGCUGCUUUCACACCGACUCGAGCCGCGAGUUUAUGGAUCUUGAUUGCACCCAGCAGGGAAUCCUUUUUAGUGAUGAGAGAAAAAAUAUUCAACAACCUGUCUUUGCAUUGGGUGUGUUGGACACACUUCCCUGCUUCGGAAUCAGACAUAUAUCUGAGCAUCAUUACGAGCUGCCAUGGAGGCCCUUCACUACCUUAAACUUCACAACAAGCCUAUGAGGCUCCUCCAGGUAGCCGAGCCUCAGCCACCAGGGCCACAGACUUCUCUGCUGCCUUGAGGGACCUACGGGACUAGCAGGAGCUGCUCUUCCUCGUACGACUUCUACCCACCCAGGGAUAUCACUUGACCUCUCUGAGCCUGCUUCCUCCUGGAGACAACAGUGUAUACUCAGGGCUAUUGCGGGGAAUGACAAGGAAAAUGGAUGAAAAUGUGCUGGAGAAAUUCUGAGGCAUCAGUCAGAUGAAAGCCCUACCUCUCCCUCUCAAAUCAGAGCCUGUUUGGCGAAGACUUUUCAGGUGUGCCGACUGCCCCAAGCUGACCCAGUGCGGAUCCUAACU